AAUCAGUUAUGCGGGCAGUCUUUUACCAACCUCUUAAACCUCGCCCAAGCAUCGCUGAGCGAUUCAUCCAUGUCCUGUUCAAAAUUUGUUAUCAAUUUUCUUCUGGC